rnacentral:rRNA from 1 species
CUUGGUCAUUUAGAGGNAGUAAAAGUCGUAACAAGGUUUCCGUAGGUGAACCUGCGGAAGGAUCAUUAUUGUAAAACCGAGGCACAAAGAGCUGUCGCUGACCUUCAAAGGUUGUGCACGCUCGAGUGCUCUCACACAUCCAUCUCACCCUUUUUGUGCAUCACCGCGUGGGCCCUCCUUUGCAGGAGGGCUUGCGUUUUCACAUAAAACUUGAUACAGUGUAGAAUGUUUUCUUUUCUUUUGCGGUCAAACGCAAUUAAUACAACUUUCAACAACGGAUCUCUUGGCUCUCGCAUCGAUGAAGAACGCAGCGAAAUGCGAUACGUAAUGUGAAUUGCAGAAUUCAGUGAAUCAUCGAAUCUUUGAACGCACCUUGCGCCCCUUGGCAUUCCGAGGGGCACACCCGUUUGAGUGUCGUGAAAUCAUCAAAACCUUUUCCUUUGAUCCUCUUUUGGUCGGGAAAAGGAUUUUUGGACUUGGAGGUUCUAUGCUCGCUUUUGAAAGCGAGCUCCUCUCAAAUGAAUUAGUGGGGUCUGCUUUGCUGAUCCUUGACGUGAUAAGAUGUUUCUACGUUUUGGAUUUGGCACUGUCCCUUGGACGCCUGCUCCUAACCGUCUGUUGGACGACGAUGGUGCUUCGGUCACUGCCAUCUACAUUGGCGGGAGGCUGGACCCACAAAAAAGACCUUGACCUCAAAUCGGGUGAGACUACCCGCUGAACUUAAGCAUAUCAAUAAGCGGANG